rnacentral:rRNA from 1 species
UGGAUCCAGACUUUGAUUAUGGCUCAGGACGAACGCUGGCGGCGUGCCUAACACAUGCAAGUCGAACGGAGUUCCGCCCUUCAGGACGGAACUUAGUGGCGAACGGGUGAGUAACGCGUGAAGAACCUGCCUUUCAGUGGGGGACAACAGUCGGAAACGACUGCUAAUACCGCAUGAUGUUCUUUGGGGGCAUCUCUAAGGAACCAAAGCUUAAUGUGCUGAAAGAUGGCUUCGCGUCUGAUUAGCUAGUUGGCGGGGUAACGGCCCACCAAGGCGACGAUCAGUAGCCGGUCUGAGAGGAUGAACGGCCACAUUGGGACUGAGAUACGGCCCAGACUCCUACGGGAGGCAGCAGUGGGGAAUAUUGGGCAAUGGGGGAAACCCUGACCCAGCAACGCCGCGUGAAGGAAGAAGGCCUUCGGGUUGUAAACUUCUUUUACCAGGGACGAAGGACGUGACGGUACCUGGAGAAAAAGCAACGGCUAACUACGUGCCAGCAGCCGCGGUAAUACGUAGGUUGCGAGCGUUGUCCGGAUUUACUGGGUGUAAAGGGCGUGCAGGCGGAGGCGCAAGUUGGGAGUGAAAUCUAUGGGCUCAACCCAUAAACUGCUCUCAAAACUGUGCCCCUUGAGUAUCGGAGAGGCAAGCGGAAUUCCUAGUGUAGCGGUGAAAUGCGUAGAUAUUAGGAGGAACACCAGUGGCGAAGGCGGCUUGCUGGACGACAACCGACGCUGAGGCGCGAAAGCGUGGGGAGCAAACAGGAUUAGAUACCCUGGUAGUCCACGCUGUAAACGAUGAAUACUAGGUGUGGGAGGACUGACCCCUUCCGUGCCGCAGUUAACACAAUAAGUAUUCCACCUGGGGAGUACGACCGCAAGGUUGCAACUCAAAGGAAUUGACGGA